rnacentral:lncRNA from 1 species
UCGAAAAAUGAAGACUGGAAGCUAGAGCCACCUCAAGCUAUCACCAUUCUCUCCUCGAUAGAUGUAGAGCUAGCUGGUGGGAGUAGUGGUGGGGGUACAGCAGGGCUUUUGGUGGAAGGAGAUGCCUUGAGCCAGCUUAAAGUGGCUUGUAGGCCAUGGGUGGUCAAAUAGGCAUAAGAGAGGAUCGUGAGAGGAAUGCUAAUGCUGGUGCUGCUCUUGAGGGUUCUACUCGGGGCUCAUCUAUCUCCCAUCAUUGGUGCCAAUGAAGAUGCUCUUCUAUAAUGUACGUGGAGAUCGGGGGGAGCCGUCUUUCCACUCAACCUUUAGAAAACUUAUGGAGCAACAUAACUCAGAGCUUUUUGUUCUCACGGAGACUAGACUGUCGAGGCCC